UCUCAGUCAUAAAUUUCCCAAAGCAUCAGACCCAUCAACCAUGGGCGACAGUAGUGACACCACUCGGCCAUUGCUGCAAGGCAUCAUCAAUGACCAAGCUCAAUUCUCCGAGCUAUCCUCAAAAGCUGUAGAGGAGUUGUUGGCACAGGAGCAGCCAAUGUCUAUGGGACAGUGGCUUAGGCUGGUGGGUUGGGAGUCCAUGCUGCUAUGGUAUCUAUUUGGUACUUCAAUUGUUGUCUCAAUCUUCAAUUUCAUGCUCAGUUUGGUGACCCAGAUGUUCAUUGGCCAUUUGGGUGCCUUGGUGCUUGUUGGUGCCUCCAUUGUCAAUGUUGGAAUUCAAGGUCUUGCUUAUGGGAUCAUGGUGAGUCUUCUUUGAAUCUGUUUGGUUGAAUACACUGGGGAAUGUAUUUUCAGGUAGGUACUGAUGAAAGAAGAAGAAGAAGAAGAAGAAGAAGAGGAGGAGGGGUAAUUAUGUCUUUUUGUAUUUUAAAACUAAUAGUAAACUAAUGGUGUUUAUUUUUUGGGUUUAAAUGUAAUAAAUAAUUUUUAGGGGAGGAUGUAAUAUAAGCAAAUGCCAGGGGAGGUUGAUGUAAAUCGUCUUAAAUUUUUCGAAAAUUUAUCUUGUAUCACCCCUAUUUUCAAAAUUUGUAUGAGAUAUCACUUUAAAUUUCCAAAAAUACUUGGGAUAUAUCCUGUUUUGAAAAAAUAAUGACUCUUAAAUCUAUUCCAUCAGCUCAGAAAGGUUAAGUGAUGAUGUGUCAUUGUUGGUAAUUUUUUAAAUGACAAGUUUACCCUUAAACUUGUUAUUUUACCUUACGAUGUAACAAAUCCACCAUUGAUUUGAUCGGCCUUCCUCCUUUGUCUCUCUCUCUCGGCUGCUUGUUGGACUCGGUGGAACACAGAACCUGCUGCACCAUCCAUAGCCGGAGAGAUCGAAGUCGGUGAGGAUGAUGUGGCCGGAUUGUUGAAUGAGUACAUUUUCAGGCUUGAGAUCACAAUAGACGAUGUUCAUACUGCGUAGAUACUCAAUAGCGCAAACGAUUUCGGCGAAGUAGAAUCGGAUGAUGGUGGGGGAGACGACAUGAUCUGUCCGACGGUAACGGAGCACGAUCAGAUCACCGCCAGGAGGGUACAAGAAUAUCCCUGGUCCCCAAUGGAAAACUACUAAAACGACUAUUCAUUGCGAAAUAGAGCUAACGAGAGACGGUUAGCACUUAGCAAUAGCUUCGUCAUUGAUCGUAGCGCACGCUGCGAAGGAUCGGACUGCGAGAGCCUAAAAGAUGCAAACCCUAUUCUCUGUGGUGUCUAAGGAGUAGUUUAGAGGGAAGGCCCCUGCUUGAAAUUUAAAAUUUUCAUAGGACUAUGCUUCAUCAGUCUCCACAGUGCCGAGAAGGGUUGGAAGAAAGGGGUUGUUCAGGCGAGAGAGACCCGAAACUUCCCGUUUAGCCCGACGUUCAACGUCGAAUUUGAUGGCUGCUACAAUCUCAGGGCAGCCAUGCCUGAGUUCUGCCUCAAUGGCUGCAGCAAUGUCGUUGAAUGGUUCAAACAGAGUAGCAGAGGUGAAAAUGAUGAGAAGUGGUUUUUUUAUUCAUAUUUGGUUUUAGGGUCAAACAAGUAAUUUUCAUUUUUGAACUAUUUUAGGGUCAAACAAGUAAUUUUCAUUUUUAAACUAACGACGUUAGACUUUAGGGGUACUAUUGAUAUUUUUGAAAAUUUAAGGCGAUAUCUCAUAUAAAUUUUGAAGAUAGGGAUGGUACAAGAUAAUUUUCUUAAAUUUUUUAUAAUUUAAUCACAUUGGAUUCCUUUGAUGAAGUAGACUUACUAGGUGAUUGUGCACAAAAUAUUACUGUCAUGGGCUUGAACUUGGUGAAGUGGGUGAGGUUUGUGACCUUUAUGCCGGAGCAAUGUCCACUUCCUUUAACUGUUGAGCAGCAGACAUGUCUAAACACCUCAACCUGAUGUGUAGGUGCUGAUGCAUCACACCACCAGAAGUUUUAUUUUGACAAGUGAAAAUC